AUUGAACGCUGGCGGAAUGCUUUACACAUGCAAGUCGAACGGCAGCACGGACUUCGGUCUGGUGGCGAGUGGCGAACGGGUGAGUAAUGUAUCGGAACGUGCCCAGUCGUGGGGGAUAACGUAGUGAAAAUUACGCUAAUACCGCAUACGAUCUAUGGAUGAAAGCGGGGGAUCGCAAGACCUCGCGCGAUUGGAGCGGCCGAUAUCAGAUUAGGUAGUUGGUGGGGUAAAGGCCCACCAAGCCAACGAUCUGUAGCUGGUCUGAGAGGACGACCAGCCACACUGGAACUGAGACACGGUCCAGACGCCGACGGGAGGCAGCAGUUGGGAAUUUUGGACAAUGGGCGAAAGCCUGAUCCAGCCAUUCCGCGUGCAGGAUGAAGGCCCUCGGGUUGUAAACUGCUUUUGUACAGAACGAAAAGGUUUCUACUAAUACUAGGAGCUCAUGACGGUACUGUAAGAAUAAGCACCGGCUAACUACGUGCCAGCCGCCGCAGUAA
rnacentral:rRNA from 1 species